ACCAGCUCAUGGAGGUUUGUGGCGUUCCUGCCGUCGCUCUUGAGUCUGUCGUUGCUGAGUUCAUUGUCGUACGAUCCCAGAAGUCCCUUGGUGUGGUUGAAGGCCCAUCCAGACACGUUGACCAUUAGUACGCGCUCCUCCUUCAUCAGGUGGACACCCAUCAGCGGGGAGGCGAGCGUGAUGUAGCGUGAGGUCACUCUGAAGUGCAUGUCACCCACUGUCUGCUCGCCU